GUGCUUUCCAGCCAAGGAGUGCACGUGGUGGAGCUACUGAGCAGGCUUGAGAGCAUCCUGGAGAGAGGAUUAGUUGCUGGGGAGAUGGCCAACCCAGAUUCUAAGUGGAAAACUCCUGAACAAAGGAAAAACUAAUGCUGGUCAAUGCAGCUGGGAUUCAUCACACUCUCCAUCUCUUACAAGUUUUUGUGCAUCUGAUUGGGGAUUUAUUGUGUCAGGUCAAGAUGCACAAAACACUAGGAAUGAAUAAGUGAUGAAUUCCAUCCCUGUGGAAAAAAGGACACAAUCUAUCUAUUCCACUUGAACCAGACCACCUGCUGGAUUCUCCACACUUGUCCUUGGCAAUCCUGCCACAAGGAAUGACCACUGUGAAAAACUUAG